rnacentral:rRNA from 1 species
GACGAACGCUGGCGGCGUGCCUAAUACAUGCAAGUAGAACGCUGAAGGAGGAGCUUGCUUCUCUGGAUGAGUUGCGAACGGGUGAGUAACGCGUAGGUAACCUGCCUGGUAGCGGGGGAUAACUAUUGGAAACGAUAGCUAAUACCGCAUAAGAGUAGAUGUUGCAUGACAUUUGCUUAAAAGGUGCAAUUGCAUCACUACCAGAUGGACCUGGGUUGUAUUAGCGUGUUGGUGGGGUAACGGCUCCCCAAGGCGACGUUACAUAGCCGACGUGAGAGGGGGGACGGCCGCACUGGGACGGGGACCCGGCCCAGACUCCUUCGGGUGGCAGCCGUAGGGCAUCUUCGGCCAUGGGCGGAAGUCUGUCCGCACUACGCCGCGGGCGUGGAGAAGGUUUUCGGGUCGGAAAGCUCUGUUGUCAGAGAAGAACGAGUGUGAGAGUGGAACGUUCACACUGUGACGGUAGCUUACCAGAAAGGGACGGCUAACUACGUG